rnacentral:lncRNA from 1 species
ACAGUGAAACGAGCUUGCAUGAGAGCAUCCCAGGACCACUGAACAUUCAGAGGGCUGGAGGCAGAGAAAAACUUCCCCUACUCAAGAAAAAGAAGCUAUUUUUGUCAAGUUAAAUGAGCCUGAACCUGCAGAGCUGAAUUGGCAGAUGAAUAUUGCUAAUUGGUGCAGUUUCUUCGGUGCAGGAAAGAGUUUCCAAUCAGACCGGCAAUUCAUUGGCCACAUGAAGACUAGGAGAGGAAAUUAUCUCCAGGAAAAAUGCCAUGCAUGACCAGGGUUAAUGAUAUGGAACACACCCCACAAAGAUGCUUUGCCUUUGGGUACCAGGACUUCAAAUCCUACACAAUGAAGAUCAAAAAUGAAACCAAGAGAGAAAAGAAACAGUGCAGUUAGCAAAAAAAAAAAAAAAAAAAAAAAAAAAAAAAAAAAAAAAAAAAGCAGGGAUUCUUAAUCUUGAGGGUGCGUGAAAAUACUGUCGGAAGAGGAGGCAUUUCGAUCUGCAGCCCUGCCGUGCUGGGUUUCUGAGCUCUGCUGCUCUCUUUCUCUGGGUAACAGGAGACUUGAAGACAUCGCCCAGAAGGUAGAGCUUCAAAUCCUGUUCUAGGGCCCAGAAGCAGAGGUAUGGACCCCACUCCUGAGUUAAUUUACUGUAUAACAUAUGGUAUUUAAAAACUUUUACUAAAAUCUUGUUCCUAUGCUUUGUGGUCAAUGUCCAGGCUAAUUUGGGAAUCGGGACUAACCAACUGAUCCCACUGGUGAACAGAGAAACUCAAGAGUUCAAGGCAAGGCCUCAAGUCCAGCAAAGUGUAAUACCCUUGAAACCCCAAAUCCUGGUGGGCACUGGUGCGUCCCACUCAAGGGUCCAGAUGCUCAUUUUUGCAUGGAUACACUGUUGAGGAUUUUUCUGCCUGGGAUGCCUUCCCCCUCCUCCUCACAGCCCAUUUUUUUCUCCACACAUCAUUUCUGAGUCUAUAAUUCCUAUAAAAUUUUAAUAUCCAGCUUAAAUGUUCAUCUCUCCAUAAUUCCCCUGUCUGAACCCUUUUUGUCCUUGGUCCAAAAUAACUUGAAAUGAUUUUC